rnacentral:rRNA from 1 species
GUGGAGCAAUCCAUGAGUAAAGUGGCGCACGGGUGAGUAACACGUGAAUUAUCUACCUCCGAGUGGGGAAUAACUGAGAGAAAUCUUAGCUAAUACCGCAUAACACUUACGAGUCAAAGCAGCAAUGCGCUUGGAGAGGAGUUCGCGGCCGAUUAGUUAGUUGGCGGGGUAAUGGCCCACCAAGACGAUGAUCGGUAUCCGGCCUGAGAGGGCGCACGGACACACUGGAACUGAAACACGGUCCAGACUCCUACGGGAGGCAGCAGUGGGGAAUUUUGCGCAAUGGGGGAAACCCUGACGCAGCAACGCCGCGUGGAGGAUGAAAUAUCUUGGUAUGUAAACUCCUUUCGAUGGGGAAGAUUAUGACGGUACCCAUAGAAGAAGCCCCGGCUAACUUCGUGCCAGCAGCCGCGGUAAUACGAGGGGGGCAAGCGUUGUUCGGAUUUAUUGGGCGUAAAGGGUGCGUAGGCGGUUUGGCAAGUCUUGUGUGAAAUCUUCGGGCUCAACCCGAAGCCUGCACAAGAAACUGCCGGGCUUGAGUAUGGGAGAGGUGAGUGGAAUUUCCGGUGUAGCGGUGAAAUGCGUAGAUAUCGGAAGGAACACCUGUGGCGAAAGCGGCUCACUGGACCAUAACUGACGCUGAUGCACGAGAGCUAGGGGAGCAAACAGGAUUAGAUACCCUGGUAGUCCUAGCCCUAAACGAUGAUUGCUUGAUGUGGC